rnacentral:sRNA from 1 species
AAUUAAUGUCUACAGUAUGUUAUUUAUUUAUCUGUGACAAUAGAACAGCGACUUUAAUGAAGUAGCGUGCUGUCUGCAGCCACGGGUAUUUUAUUGCAGUGGCUAAUUACGGCACGUCGAAUUCUAAACCAACAAAUUCUACUAUUUUCAAAUGGAAUAAGAAAACAAGACUAUUUGAACCGUUCCAAAAUAUUGCAACAUACACAGCAAGAGAUAUUGAAGCAUUUCAGAUAGAGAACAAUUUUUACCUUGCUAUUGCCAAUCAUGCGAAAGGUGAAAACACAAAGAUUGACUCCAUUCUUUACAAGUGGUCUUCACAGUAUCAGAGUUUUAUUCAUCAUCAAAGCAUUGCAACUGUUGGAGCAUAUGACUGGACUUACUUUCACUUAGACAACUAUCAUUUUUUAGUUGUGGCUAAUUCUUUUACCGGGCUUUCAACGCUUGUAUUUUCUGUCAUAUAUAUUUGGCAACAAGGCAGAUGGAUCCAGUU